ACGGAAGGCAGCAGUGGGGGAUAUUGCACAAUGGGGGAAACCCUGAUGCAGCGACGCCGCGUGAGUGAAGAAGUAUUUCGGUAUGUAAAGCUCCAUCAGCAGGAAAGAUAAUGACGGUACCUGACUAAGAAGCACCGGCUAAAUACGUGCCAGCAGCCGCGGUAAUACGUAUGGUGCAAGCGUUAUCCGGAUUUACUGGGUGUAAAGGGAGCGCAGACGGCAUGGCAAGCCAGAUGUGAAAUCCCGGGGCUCAACCCCGGAACUGCAUUUGAAACUGUAGCCCUUGAGUAUCGGAGAGGCAAGCGGAAUUCCUAGUGUAGCGGUGAAAUGCGUAGAUAUUAGGAGGAACACCAGUGGCGAAGGCGGCUUGCUGGACGACAACUGACGCUGAGGCGCGAAAGCGUGGGGAGCAAACAGGAUUAGAUACCCUGGUA
rnacentral:rRNA from 1 species